rnacentral:rRNA from 1 species
UACAGAGGGUGCGAGCGUUAAUCGGAAUUACUGGGCGUAAAGCGUGCGUAGACGGUUAUGUAAGUCAGAUGUGAAAGCCCCGGGCUCAACCUGGGAAUUGCAUUUGAGACUGUGUAGCUAAGGUGCGGAAGAGGGAAGCGGAAUUUCCGGUGUAGCGGUGAAAUGCGUAGAUAUCGGAAGGAACACCAGUGGCGAAAGCGGCUUCCUGGUCCAGCACCGACGUUCAGGCACGAAAGCGUGGGGAGCAAACAGG